CGCUCUACUUAGCCAUUGCUAGGUUUAUUUUACAUAUGCGAAAGGAUUAAUUUGUCCAGAACUUUUAUUCCUAUCUUCUUGACGAAAGCUGCAUUCUGGUUUCAAGCCAGAAUUUUUCGUGUGAGGGUAGUGGAUACUUGUCCCAAUUCAUAAAUAAUAAAGUCAAGAUCUUCAAGGCCACUUCGGCACACCAGAAACCAC
rnacentral:lncRNA from 1 species